AAACUAAUCUUAGAAGAUUUGAUUUGAAAUAUUAAGGGAUUAUGUAAAUCCCUUAAAAAUCUAAAAUUGUAUAUUGGCUUCGAUCUCAACCAUUGAUGUAAAUAAAUUAUACCAUUGGAUCUAGGGGAGCUGAAAUACAAAUAAAGGUCUUCCCCCUCAUUUUUAAUCAUCUCAUUACACCUUUUUCAUAGUAAUAUAAUACUAUUGAGA
rnacentral:lncRNA from 1 species